AAAAAUAUUUGUAAAGAAAAUUCAUGAAGGAUAAUGGGCUUGUUUGUCACCAUGCGAUAAAAGAAGCAUGUUGUGAGAUAAUUGGCAUAAAGGAUAUGUAUGCCAAAGUACAAGGAGGAAUGUAAAAGCAUUCUAAACCGUAUUGGUUUAUUGCAAUAGAAAUAUCAACAAUUUGCAGAUGAAAAAUGAUAGCAUUUAGUCAAAGUUAAAUCAGAAAAUGGGAAUUAUCCAGUAGUACUUGUUUCACCAGCGCAAAUCAGAAAACCAGAAGUACCGUCAAUAAGUCUCUCGAUUUUAUGCAGUAUGUAAUGGAUAAAAGAAUGGUGUUGAAAAAGAAGAAAUUACUGCCAUUCUUUACUAAAUUUCCGUCUUACAAAAGAAAAUUGGAAUGUUGGAUUUGAACGAACGAGAAACUCCGAUGAAACGAAAAUACAAUUGUUAGCGAAAUAUGAAAAACUGCAUUUUUUGACAGAAAAAUAUCCAGAGGCACAAAUAUUUUAUAAACGAAAACCACGCGAAGAUGAAACAAUAGAAUAAAGAAGCCGUAUAAUCAUUGUACUUUCAUGUAUAAACGUUUCACAAAAUAAAAUCUUUAUAAAUGAA